AAGAAAUUAGUUUAAUACAAAACAUUAGCUUGUCAAGCCAAAGAUAUCUUAGAUAUUUCUUA
rnacentral:tRNA from 2 species